AUUUUCCCCCAAGGUGAUCCAAAGUAAUUGUUGUAGAGCCAGGGUUUCAGAUAUAUGAACAUUAUCCAAAUUCUAAUCAUUGCUCUGAAGUAUUGUGAACAAUUAUAUUAAGUCUUAAAGUGAUGCUGUAGAUUGAGAGGACCAAAGGAAUGUAGUUGUCCAACAGGUUGAAAAGAGUUCCAUAUUUUACAACUUUAUAUUUGAAUAUUUUCCCCUUACAAUAAUUCAUUGUAUCAGUGUCCACCCCCUAUAAAC